rnacentral:rRNA from 1 species
UACGUAGGGUCCGAGCGUUGUCCGGAAUUAUUGGGCGUAAAGGGCUCGUAGGCGGUUUGUCGCGUCGGGAGUGAAAACCUACAGCUUAACUGUGGGCUUGCUUUCGAUACGGGCAGACUUGAGGCAUUCAGGGGAGAACGGAAUUCCUGGUGUAGCGGUGAAAUGCGCAGAUAUCAGGAGGAACACCGGUAGGCGAAGGCGGUCUGCU